rnacentral:rRNA from 1 species
UACGUAGGUGACAAGCGUUGUCCGGAUUUACUGGGCGUAAAGAGCGCGCAGGCGGUCGUUCAAGUCGAGUGUGAAAGCCCCCGGCUCAACUGGGGAGGGUCACUCGAUACUGAUCGACUCGAAGGCAGGAGAGGGUAGUGGAAAUUCCCGGUGUAGUGGUGAAAUGCGUAGAUAUCGGGAGGAACACCAGUGGCGAAGGCGACUACCUGGCCUGUUCUUGACGCUGAGACGCGAAAGCGUGGGGAGCGAACCGGG